rnacentral:rRNA from 1 species
AGUGAACGCUGGCGGUAGGCCUAACACAUGCAAGUCGAACGGCAGCACAGUAAGAGCUUGCUCUUACGGGUGGCGAGUGGCGGACGGGUGAGGAAUACAUCGGAAUCUACUUUUUCGUGGGGGAUAACGUAGGGAAACUUACGCUAAUACCGCAUACGACCUACGGGUGAAAGCAGGGGAUCUUCGGACCUUGCGCGAUUGAAUGAGCCGAUGUCGGAUUAGCUAGUUGGCGGGGUAAAGGCCCACCAAGGCGACGAUCCGUAGCUGGUCUGAGAGGAUGAGCGGCCACACGGGAACUGAGACACGGUCCAGACUCCUACGGGGGGCAGCAGUGGGGAAUAUUGGGCAAGGGGCGAAAGCCUGACCCAGCAACGCCGCGGGAGGGAAGAAGGUCUUCGGUUGGUAAAACCCUUUUUUGGGAAAAGAAAAGAAGCGGAUGAAACCCCGGUGUUCGUGACGGUACCAAAAAAGAAAGCCCCGGCUAACUUCGUG